rnacentral:rRNA from 1 species
CGUGUCUAUCCUCCGUGCGGCGCUGCGGUAGGUGCCCGAUAGGGGCGGGUUGCUGGAAUGCCUCGAGAUUUAAAGCUCCGGCGCCUAAGGAUGGGUCUGCGGCCUAUCAGGUAGUAGUGGGUGUAGCGUACCUACUAGCCUACGACGGGUACGGGUUGUGAGAGCAAGAGCCCGGAGAUGGAUUCUGAGACACGAAUCCAGGCCCUACGGGGUGCCAGCAGCCGCGGUAAUACGAUCCCCCCGU